GUGUUUGCUUUGGCAGCACAUAUAUUAAAAUGAAACAAUACAGAGAAAAUGAGCAUACAAGGAUGACAAAUUAAAAGAAAGAAUGUUAGCAUGCCUUU
ensembl:snRNA U6 U6 spliceosomal RNA